rnacentral:snoRNA from 1 species
GCUUACUGAUGGGAAUCAUUAUUUCUUAAAUUGGAUGACACUUUCCAUUCCUGCAAAGAGAGCCUGGGGUC